UUGCCUUGCUGCCACUGGCGGCCGCAUGGGACAUCAUAGAUCCGUCGAAGGAGUCGAUAUCCUGGACGCGCAACUCGACGGGCGAACCGUCCGAGGUGCUCAGCAUUCCGCGGUACGACAUCUCGCCAAAGGCAAGUGAUUCUGGACG
rnacentral:sRNA from 1 species